GGGGGCAACGGGAAGGGUGUUGAGUAAGAGUGUGGCCUGCAAUUCAACACUCUCAUUUUCAGCCUUGUUACAGUUGUGACAUAGUACUGAAUUCUGUCACUUGUCAUUUCACCAUUUAUAAAGCACUCCUAAAGUGCUGUAAACACUAUAAGACAGGUAAGAAUGCAGCCCCUGUCUUCAUGAGAGCUCUUUCAUUUUAAUUACAUUAAUACUUUUCUCAUUACAAAAAUGUAAGUGUUCACUGUAAAGUUUUGGGAAAGCACAGAAAGUUUGAAGAAGAAAGCAAUGAUCACUUUAUCCUACCUAUCAUACCUGGAGAUAACAACAACUCUUUUGGAUGUAUUACCUUCUAGUCCUUUAUUUUCCUUUUGCCUACUUUUUUUUUUUUUUUUUUACAAAAUCGGAAUUAUCUUGUGCAGUAUGUUCUGUAACCUAAUUGUAUGUCUGUAUAUUAUUCCAUUAUUUGUAUGUGUCAUGCUUUGCUUAACUAACUACUGCUGUAUGUCAAACUUUUACCAUUUUUUAUGACAGGCAAGACUACAUAUAACUUGAUCAAACUGUUUGGUAGCCAUUUGGUUAGACUGAGGCUUAUUCUUUAUUUAUUUAUUUUGUCUUUUUGCCAUUUCUUGGGCCGCUCCUGUGGCAUAUGGAGGUUCCCAGGCUAGGGGUCCAAUUGGAGCUGUAGCCACCGGCCUAUACCAGAGCCACAGCAACUCGGGAUCCGAGCCGCGUUUUCAACCUACACCACAGCUCACGGCAACGCCAGAUCGUUAACCCACUGAGCAAGGGCAGGGACCAAACCCGCAACCUCAUGGUUCCUAGUCGGAUUCGUUAACCACUGCGCCACGACGGGAACUCCCAGACUUACUCUUUAGAACUGACUCUGACAACAUGGAUUCUUAGUUAAUGUUUUAUACCAUUCUAAAGUACCCUAGAAUGAAGAAAAGGAAAUAUGUAUUUAGGGAGACUUUGGGGAAAUGCUAGGCUGUGAGCUCCUCAACAAUAGGGAACUCAUCUCUCUCUCCAACAUCUAGCAUAGUCCCUGAAAUAUUUAUUGGAUGAAUAAGGGGGCGGGUAAGAAGCCUCAAUGAACUCAAUCAUAGUAUAUUUCUGUAAUACAAGGUUUAAUAAGGAAAGAGAGAAGAAUGAAACAAGGGGGGAGCAAAGGCAGAGCUAAGGAAUCUUCAUCCUUAUCUCUAAAAAGAAAGAUGAGGGGAAUUCCCUGGUGGUCUGGUGGUUAAUAUUUGGCACCUUCACCACUGCGGCCCAGGUUCAGUCCCUAGUCUGGGAACUGAGAACGCAUGCCAUUGCCCCCCCCCCCCACCAAACAAAAUGAACACACAGGAAAAAAACCUGUGUGCCUUGAUUAUAACCAAUUAGUCAGUAAAUUAUUUACAUUAAAAACUCUACAAAUAGGAGUUCCUGUUGUGGCUCAGUGGUAAUGAACCUGACUAGUAUCCAUGAAGAUGUGAGUUCGAUCCCUGGCCUCACUCAGUGGGUUAGGGAUCCAGCCUUUCUGUGGAGCUGUGGUGUAAGUUGCAGACACAGCUUGGAUCCUGAGUUGCUGUGGCUGUGGUACAGGCCAGCAGCUACAGCUCCAAUUCGACCCUUAGCCUGGGAACUUCCAGAUGCCUCAGGUGCAGCCAUAAAAAGACAAAACAAAACAAAACACGAAACCCUGGAGUUCCCAUCUUGGCGCAGCAGAAAUGAAUCUGACUAGGAACCAUGAGGUUGAGGGUUCGAUCCCUGGCCUCGCUCAGUGAGUUAAGGAUCCGGGCUGCAGCAGUGAAAGCACAGAGUCCUAACCACUAGACCACUAGGGAACUCCCUGCAUUCUACUCUUUAGCACUCACUAUGACCUGUCCAAACAUCUCUCCCAACUUGGGAGGCAACAUAUCUAAUUUAAUCCAUAGAAGGUCAACUUCAUAGCUCAGUGGGUUAAGAACCCAACUAGUAUCCAUGAGGAUUCAGGUUCUGUCCCUGGCCUUGCUCAGCAGGUUAAAGGAUCUGGCAUUGCCACAAGCUGUGGUGCAGGUCACAGAUGUGGCUUGGAUCUGGCAUUGCUGUGGCUGAGGCACAGGCCGGCAGCUGCAGCUCUGAUUCAACUUCUAGCCUAGGAAUUUCCAUAUGCCGCAGGUGCAGCCCUAAAAAGCAAGAAAAAAAAAAAAAAAAAAGUAUACAACUUAAUGUGUUUUAGUGUAUUCACAGAUAUGUGCAACCAUUAAUUACUAUAGUUGAUUUUACAUUUUCUUCUUCAUUUUUAAAAGAAAUCUUGUGCCCAUUUGUUAUCUUCCCCCUUCUCCCUAUCUCCCAAGGCCUUAUAUAAGCACAAUUCUACUUUCUCCAUAGAUUCCCCUAUUCUGGAUAUUUCAUAUAAAUGAAAUCAUAUAAUAUAUGGUCUUUUGUGACUGGCUUUUUUCACUUAGCAUAAUGUUUUCAAGGUGCAUCCAUUUUGUAGCACCUUGCAUAAUAUAUCUACAUCUGGAUAUAUAUAUAUACCAGAUGUAGAUAUAUCAUAUUUGUUUAACCACUCAUCGGUUGAUGUCCCUUUUGGCUAUUAUGAAUGCUGCUGCUAUAAAAAUUUGUUUUUUUAUUUUUUAAAUUUUUAUUUAUUUACUUAUUUUAGGGCCGCAUCUGUGACAGGCUAAGUGUCAACACUGGAGCUGCAGCUACUGGCCUAUGCCACAGCCACAGCCACAGCCACAGCAACACAGUAUCCAAGCCCCAUCUGCAGCCUCUACCACAGCUCAUGGCAACACUGCAUUCUUAACCCACUGAGAGGAGCCAGGGAAUGAACCUGUGUCCCAGGGCUCCAGGUACGCUGAUGAUCCACUGGGCCACAGCGCAAACUUCUGUGUUCAGUUGUUUGAGAAGCUGUUAAAAUGUCUUCCAAAAGUAGCUGCACUAGUUUAUAUUCCCAAAACCAGAGUUCCAGUUUCUCUACAUCCUUGCUAACACUUGUUGUCUGAUUAAUCAAAGUCCAUUUAUUUAGAUCUUCCUGAAUUUCUUUCAACAAUGUUUUAUGUUUUCAUAGUAUGUUUUGCUCUUCUUUUGUUAAAUUUGUCCCUAAGCACUUUAUUCUUUUUCAUGUUAUUAUAAAUAGAAUUGUUUCUUUUUUUUUUCCUUGUCUUUUUGUCUUUUUUUUUAGGGUCACACCCCCGGCAUAUGGAUGUUCCCAGGCUAGGGGUCGAAUCAGAGCUACACCUGCCAGCCUGCGCCACAGCCGCAGUAACUCUGGAUCGCUAGCCGUGUCUGCAACCUACACCACAGCUCACGGCAAUGCCAGAUCCUUAACCCACUGAGGGAGGCCAGGGUCCCUAGUCAGAUUUGUUUCUGCUGCGCCACGACAGGAACUCCUAAAUAGAAUUGUUUCUUAAUUUCAUUUUCAAACUGCUCACUGCGAGUGUAUAGGAAUAUGAUUGACAUUUGUAAAUUGAUCUUGUAACCUGCAACCCUGCUGAACUUGUUCAUUCUAAUCAUUUUUGUAAUGGAUUCCUUAGGAUUUUCUAUAUAUAAGAUCAUGUCAUUUUUAAGUAGUAGUUUUACCUCUUCCUUUCGAUUUUGGAUAGCUUUCAUUUCUUUUUCUUGCCAAUUUCCGUGGCUAGAACCUCCAGUAUAAUGUUGAAUACAGGUGGUAUCCCCUUAUAGUUCUUGAGACAGAAUCCUGCACACUAGGCCAUUCGCUUUUUUUUUUCUUUUCAGGGCUGCACCCUAUGGAAGUUCCCAGGCUAGGGGUUGAAUUAGAGUUACAGCUGCCAGCCUACACCACAGCCACAGCAACGCCAGAUCCUUAAACCACUGAGUGAGGACAGGGAUCGAAUCCACAUCCUCAUGGAUCCUGGUGGCAUUCAUUACUGCUGAGUCAGGAUGGGAACUCCCUCACUUUUUUUUUUUUUUUUUUUGAUUGAUGUUACCUACUUAUCUAGUUACUUGGUAAUUUAUUGAGGAUGGAAAUCAUCCUUAAUACUGAAAAGCCCCAUGUUAUUAUGUUUAAUAUCUUGAAAGUAUUCAAUAACUAUUAUGUGAUUGAUAAUGAUAAUUAGAAAAAAUUGAGGAAUUCCCAUUGUGGCUCAGCAGGUUAAGAACCUGACAUAGUCUCCGUGAGGAUGCCGGUCAUCUCAGAGCCUUGCUUUGAUGCUUUUCCUCUGUUGCUUGUCUGGUUCCUCUCAUCCUAUGCUCAACUUGACCAAAACUGCACUGAUUGGCUUUCCCUCCAACAGUGCUCUGCCUCUUCUAUUUCCUAUUCCAGUUAGUAGCACAACCAGACAACCAGUCACCCAAACCGGAAACCUGUGAAUCAUUCUAGUCUUCUACUCCUUAGCCCCUACAUUUAAUUAAAUUUCCUUGAUUUCACUUUUUAAAUAUUUAGAUUUUGUUUCCUCUUCUCUGACUCUGCAACCACUGUCUUAGUUCAGGCUGCCUUCAUAUUUCACCUGAAAUUAUUACGAUUAUAUUCUUUUUUUUUUCUUUUUUUCUUUUUAGGGCCACACUUUGGCAUAUGGAAGUUCCCAUGCUAGGGGUCGAAUUGUUGCUGCAGUUGCCAGCCUAUACCACAGCCAUAGCGACACCAGAUCUGAGCUGUGGCUUGAGGCAAUGCUGGAUCCUUAACCCACUGAAUGAGGCCAGGGAUUUAACCCGAAUUCUCAUGGAUACUAGUCCGGUUCUUAACCCACUGAGCCACAAUGGGAACUCCUUAUGAUUGUAUUCUAACUGGUGUCCUUAUCUUCUAGCUUAUCUCCUCCAAUCUUUUCUAUACACUGUUGCUGGGGUGAUCCUAGUAAGCUGAAUAAUGCCCCCCCACCCCCAAAGAUAUCCAUGUUCUAGUUCCUGGAGCCUGUCAAUGUUACCUUAUAUGGCAACAAGGUAGAACUUUGCAGAUGUGAUUAAGUUAAGGGUCUUAAGAUGGGGAAAUUUUUUUAAUAUACAAUGGAGGUAAGUCUUGUUUUAUUAUUUAUUUAUUUAUUUUUUUGUCUUUUUAGGGCUGCACCUACAGCAUAUGGAAGUUCCCAGGCUAGGGGUUGAAUCAGAGCUCCAGCUGCUGGCCUACACCAUAGCUCAUGGCAACACCAGACGCUUAACCCACUGAGCGAGGCCAGGGAUUGAAUGUGCAUCCUCAUGUAUACUAUUCGGGUUUGUUACUGCUGAGCCACAAUAGGAACUCCGUAAGUUACUUUUUAAAAAUCCUCCAAUCUCUUUCCAUCACCUAUAGGUUAAAGUAAAAACUUCUAAGCAUGGCACAGGUUCUUAAUUUUUUGGCCUGUGUCUAUCUCUAUAACCUAAUUUCCUGUCACUCGGCCUCUCCACUUUUCUUCGGCCGUGACAAAUUUCCUAAACAUAGGUCAUUCUGUCUUUGACCCUUUGCACACUGAUCUGUCUGACUUCAACCUUUUAUUUAAGACCCAAUUCAAAGGCGUUUUUUUCUGUGAAGCCAUUCCUGAUCCACUCAGGAGAGCUGUGCUGCCAUUACCCCUAAUAUGAUACUAUUAUUGGUCUACAGUAUUGAAAUUGCUUGUUCAUAUUAACAUUUCUCUGCUUACAUUGUGAUUGCUUUGAGGAGAGAGACAAAGUACAAGAAUUUUUCUUUUAAUUUGUUGUUCUAGUUUUCCAAUCUUGUAAACAGCUGGGGUGAUUAACAAUGUAUCAAUUCAUUAAAAUGUUAUUGAAUCCAUA
rnacentral:lncRNA from 1 species